UUGCUUACUCAAUAAGCGGAGGAAAAGAAACCAACAGGGAUUGCCUUAGUACGGCGAGUGAGCGGCAAAGCUCAAAUUUGAAAUCUGGCACCUUCGGUGUCCGAGUUGUAAUUUGAAGAAGGUAACUUUGGAGUUAGCUCUUGUCUAUGUUCCUUGGAACAGGACGUCACAGAGGGUGAGAAUCCCGUGCGAUGAGAUGUCUAACUCUAUGUAAAGUGCUUUCGAAGAGUCGAGUUGUUUGGGAAUGCAGCUCUAAGUGGGUGGUAAAUUCCAUCUAAAGCUAAAUAUUGGCGAGAGACCGAUAGCGAACAAGUACAGUGAUGGAAAGAUGAAAAGAACUUUGAAAAGAGAGUGAAAAAGUACGUGAAAUUGUUGAAAGGGAAGGGUUUGAGAUCAGACUUGGUAUUUUGUAUGUCUUGCUUUCGGGUGGGGCCUCUGCAGUUUACUGGGCCAGCAUCGGUUUGGAUGGUAGGAUAAUGACAUUGGAAUGUGGCACUACUUCGGUGGUGUGUUAUAGACUUUGUUGAUACUGCCUGUCUAGACCGAGGACUGCGUCUUUGACUAGGAUGCUGGCAUAAUGAUCCUAAACCGCCCGUCUUGAAACGACGAGACCA
rnacentral:rRNA from 1 species